GUGAGGAAUUUUCAGCAAUGGGCGAAAGCCUGACGGAGCAAUGCCGCGUGAAGGAUGAAGGCCUAUGGGUUGUAAACUUCUUUUCUCAGAAAAGAAUUAUGACGGUAUCUGAGGAAUAAGCAUCGGCUAACUCUGUGCCAGCAGCCGCGGUAAGACAGAGGAUGCAAGCGUUAUCCGGAAUGAUUGGGCGUAAAGCGUCUGUAGGUUGUUUAAAAAGUAUUCUGUCAAAGAUUAGGGCUUAACCCUAGAUAGGCAGAAUAAACUUUUAAGCUAGAGUUUGGUAGAGGCAGAGGGAAUUCCCGGUGGAGCGGUGAAAUGCGUAGAUAUCGGGAGGAACACCAAAGGCGAAGGCACUCUGCUGGGCCAAUACUAACACUGAGAGACGAAAGCGAGGGGAGCAAAUGGGAUUAGAUACCCUGGUAGUCC
rnacentral:rRNA from 1 species